rnacentral:rRNA from 1 species
UGCAGUCGAGCGGACCGACGGGAGCUUGCUCCCUUAGGUCAGCGGCGGACGGGUGAGUAACACGUGGGUAACCUGCCUGUAAGACUGGGAUAACUCCGGGAAACCGGGGCUAAUACCGGAUGCUUGAUUGAACCGCAUGGUUCAAUCAUAAAAGGUGGCUUUUAGCUACCACUUGCAGAUGGACCCGCGGCGCAUUAGCUAGUUGGUGAGGUAACGGCUCACCAAGGCGACGAUGCGUAGCCGACCUGAGAGGGUGAUCGGCCACACUGGGACUGAGACACGGCCCAGACUCCUACGGGAGGCAGCAGUAGGGAAUCUUCCGCAAUGGACGAAAGUCUGACGGAGCAACGCCGCGUGAGUGAUGAAGGUUUUCGGAUCGUAAAACUCUGUUGUUAGGGAAGAACAAGUACCGUUCGAAUAGGGCGGUACCUUGACGGUACCUAACCAGAAAGCCACGGCUAACUACGUGCCAGCAGCCGCGGUAAUACGUAGGUGGCAAGCGUUGUCCGGAAUUAUUGGGCGUAAAGCGCGCGCAGGCGGUUUCUUAAGUCUGAUGUGAAAGCCCCCGGCUCAACCGGGGAGGGUCAUUGGAAACUGGGGAACUUGAGUGCAGAAGAGGAGAGUGGAAUUCCACGUGUAGCGGUGAAAUGCGUAGAGAUGUGGAGGAACACCAGUGGCGAAGGCGACUCUCUGGUCUGUAACUGACGCUGAGGCGCGAAAGCGUGGGGAGCGAACAGGAUUAGAUACCCUGGUAGUCCACGCCGUAAACGAUGAGUGCUAAGUGUUAGAGGGUUUCCGCCCUUUAGUGCUGCAGCAAACGCAUUAAGCACUCCGCCUGGGGAGUACGGUCGCAAGACUGAAACUCAAAGGAAUUGACGGGGGCCCGCACAAGCGGUGGAGCAUGUGGUUUAAUUCGAAGCAACGCGAAG